rnacentral:rRNA from 1 species
GAUGAACGCUAGCUACAGGCUUAACACAUGCAAGUCGAGGGGUAACGAGAGGAAAGCUUGCUUUCCUUGUCGACGACCGGCGCACGGGUGAGUAACGCGUAUCCAACCUGCCCCCAACUAGGGAAUAACCUUGCGAAAGUAAGACUAAUACCCUAUAAUUUCCUCAGAUGUCAUCUGACGAGGAAUAAAGAUUUAUCGGUUGUGGAUGGGGAUGCGUCUGAUUAGCUUGUUGGCGGGGUAACGGCCCACCAAGGCAACGAUCAGUAGGGGUUCUGAGAGGAAGGUCCCCCGCAUUGGAACUGAGACACGGUCCAAACUCCUACGGGAGGCAGCAGUGAGGAAUAUUGGUCAAUGGGCGGAAGCCUGAACCAGCCAAGUAGCGUGCAGGAUGACGGACCUAUGGGUUGUAAACUGCUUUUAUACAGGAAUAAAGUUAGCCACGUGUGGUUAUUUGUAGGUACUGUAUGAAUAAGGACCGGCUAAUUCCGUGCCAGCCGCCGCGGUAA